CUGAAGAGCUGGUCUCACUCCCACUGUGCCACCUCCAACAGCACAGAGUCUGUUUCCAGGCAGCAGGCAAGCAGGGCUUGAGAACUUUCCCCAGGCUACCCGCCUCCCAGCUGUGAAAGAAAAGGACUUUAGUUCUUCCCCCACCUGUGGAAUCUGCUGGCUGGAUUCAUGCCCUCCAGCAAGUUCUGGCCAGGAGGCUUCUCACCUGGUUCAAAUUGUUACAAAGUUCAGCUGGAGACUUCCUUCUCCCUGUGGCAUUUUCCCCAUACCUCUGGACACCCUCCUGAAGGAUCCCUGUGGUGCCAGGCAUGAAUGGCCUGCUUGGGGACCCAAUGAGUUCCCAGGACCCUUCCUGCUGCUUCUUCUACCCUUGUAUUUUGCUUGGCUGUCUAAAUUGACUCAGCUCCAGGAUCCCUUCGUUUGAGGUAGGAUAUGGAAUCGCAUCCACUCUGAUUUGUUGCCAGCAGUGUUCUCCAACUUAAUUAUCCUCUGUGAUCCACACUAAAGUAUUUUGAAGAAUAACAAAGCUCUCCAAGGGUCUUAAUACAGGGGAGUUAGCAGACUUGGAAAACUGCAAGAGGAGAAGAGUAAGAGGACUCUCAAAACAUUAAGAUUCUAUUGAAGCAAAUGUGAAUGUUUAUUAAUUGUCACAUUCUUUUGAAGCCUUGAAGCCCAGUAGCAAAAAGCAUAGGCGUUGACUGUGAUUAAAAUUUCAUGGCACCAUUUAACCGGAUAAGAGAAGGACCUAAGGUGGGAGAGCUACACUCAUGAGGUACUAGGUCACUGAUUCUCAACAGCAUCUCUGUACCAGUCACACUGGCCUUAUAGAACAAAUGAGUGACCUGAGAUAUUACAGCUUGUAAGAGGUGAAGGAGGGGAACUACUUGAGCAAAAGGCCCAGUGGAUUUGAGCCAAGUUCCAGAAGAGCAAUGAGAAUAUCAUAACCUCUCAGGAGGCUAUACAGGAAGCAUGAUGCUGGUGUCUGCUCAGCUUCUGGGGAGAACUCAGGAAACUUACAAUCAUGGCAGAAGGCAAAGAGGAAGCAAGUGCAUCUUACAUGGCUGGAGCAAGAUCGUGAGAGAGUGGGGAGGUGCUGCACACUUUUAAACAACCAAAUCUCGUUGUUUUGCCACAACACCAUCAAGGAGAAUGAUGUUAAACCAUGAGAAACCACCCCUAGACCCACCAGGCCCUACCUCCAACACUGGGGAUUACAGUUUGACAGGAGAUUUGGGUGGGGACACAGAUCCAAGCCAUAUCAUUACAUAUUUCUUUAUUUCUGUUUGUAUAAACUCUGGUUUUCUAUUUUAUUAAAUAAAUUAAAAUCCAUUACUAUUAUUGUCUAUUCUGAUACUCAAAUUGGCAAAGAUUUGACCAGGGCCAGCUCCUUUGUGCUGGCUUCUUUGUCCUCUUGACAUGUCUUUACUCUUUGAUACUUAUUUUAUGGCAUAACGGAAGAUUCAGACUCAACUCUUAGUUUUUUUGCCCCAUGCCUGGAAUCAAAUAUUUCUACUAGGAACCUUGGUUCUUUUAAAAGGAAAAUGUUUUUUAGUAUGCAAAAUCUGGUUACACUCAUGACUAUGUAUGCAACACUGCUUCCAGGCUCUCUCAAUGGAUAGGACUAGGGAAUAUAUGCAAGUUCACAAACACACACACACACACACUCACUUGCAUCUAUAUUUAUAACUCUCUCCAUAUAUACUGGAAACCAUAAGUUCACACUGAAAUUUCCAAUUCCAAUCUAACACCACAGAGUUCAUUCUAGUUUUCUCUAUUUCUAGAUUUGUAACUCCCUUCUCUGACAGUGAAAAACAGGCUCCCAUUAUUCUAAAUAUUUUUACUUAUUUGAUGAAUUUUCCUGUAUGUAACUGAUCUCAUUCCUGCCACUGCCCUCUUCCCCCAAGAAUAUCCUUCUGCUAAGGUAUAGCAAAGAUUAUGUGCUGGAAACUUAAUGCCCAAUGCAAUAGUGUUGAGAGGUGGGAUGUUUAUGAGGUGAUUAAGUCAUGAGGGCUCUUCCCUCAUGAAUGAAUUAAUGCUGAUAUAAUGAGAAUGGGUUCUUGAGAAGAAGGAUGAGUCUGGUCUCCUUCCUCUCGUUCUUUCCCUCUGUUGCCUUUCUAUCUUCUGCUAUGGGAUGACACAGCAUGAAGGCCCUCCCUAUAUGCCAGUGCCAUGCUCUUGGACUUUCCAGUCUUCAGAAUUUUAAGCCAAAUAAACUUAUACUGUUUAUAAAUUACUCAGUGUGUGGCAUUCUGUUAUAUCACCACAAAAUGAAUGAAGAUACCUCCUUAACACCACUCACAG
rnacentral:lncRNA from 10 species